UGAGUAAUGCUUAGGAAUCUGCCUAUUAGUGGGGGACAACAUUUCGAAAGGAAUGCUAAUACCGCAUACGUCCUACGGGAGAAAGCAGGGGAUCUUCGGACCUUGCGCUAAUAGAUGAGCCUAAGUCGGAUUAGCUAGUUGGUGGGGUAAAGGCCUACCAAGGCGACGAUCUGUAGCGGGUCUGAGAGGAUGAUCCGCCACACUGGGACUGAGACACGGCCCAGACUCCUACGGGAGGCAGCAGUGGGGAAUAUUGGACAAUGGGCGCAAGCCUGAUCCAGCCAUGCCGCGUGUGUGAAGAAGGCCUUAUGGUUGUAAAGCACUUUAAGCGAGGAGGAGGCUACUUUAGUUAAUACCUAGAGAUAGUGGACGUUACUCGCAGAAUAAGCACCGGCUAACUCUGUGCCAGCAGCCGCGGUAAUACAGAGGGUGCAAGCGUUAAUCGGAUUUACUGGGCGUAAAGCGCGCGUAGGCGGCUAAUUAAGUCAAAUGUGAAAUCCCCGAGCUUAACUUGGGAAUUGCAUUCGAUACUGGUUAGCUAGAGUGUGGGAGAGGAUGGUAGAAUUCCAGGUGUAGCGGUGAAAUGCGUAGAGAUCUGGAGGAAUACCGAUGGCGAAGGCAGCCAUCUGGCCUAACACUGACGCUGAGGUGCGAAAGCAUGGGGAGCAAACAGGAUUAGAUACCCUGGUAGUCCAUGCCGUAAACGAUGUCUACUAGCCGUUGGGGCCUUUGAGGCUUUAGUGGCGCAGCUAACGCGAUAAGUAGACCGU
rnacentral:rRNA from 1 species